UUAUUUUGGAUGAUAUUAGAAAUCUAAAUUGAUGAUCGGUAUUGUUGAAAUUAAUCUACACUAUUAAAAUAUUUAGAAAUCAAGUUUUGUUAUUUUAAAAAAUUAUUAUAAAGUCCAUUGAAAAGCCGAAAAAUGAAAGGUCGAAAAUGAAUAAGCUUCUAAAAAUAGAGGUUAGACUUUUUUAAUUAAUUCAUGAUCGAAGUUACCAAACGUUAUAUAAAUAGUAUAAAAAAUUUUCUAUAAAAAAUUCAAAUAUUUUAGAUUACUCUACACCGUUAAAUAAGCAAAUGACACAUAUAAAUCAUCAAAAACUGUCGAUUUUGCAAUCCUUUGAUCACUAUAUAAAUAAUUUCUUAAAAUUAUAAAAUUUAGUUUCUAGACACUUCAAAUACUUUAAAUUAAUUUUAACGGUUACGAUCAAUGAAUUGAGAUCUCUAUCACAAAAAAUGACUUGAUAAAAUGAAAAUUUCCAUCCUCUUAAAAGAAUAGCAGUUGAAUUAUAUAGAAUUGAGUUCUUAUGCUUUUAAAAAUAUCAAAUGAUCACCAGUGCUUAUGGGUUUUUGGCCUUUGGAUGAAGCUUAAUUUAUAGGGUUAGAAUAAUAGUGGUUCCCUGAGAUUGAGUUGGUGAUUAGUGGUAUAGCAUGAUUUAAGAGGUGGAAUUAGUCAAAGGGAUAGAUCUAAUAGUGAAAACUUACAAGUACUAAAUAGUUGGUGUUUUUAAAAGUACUCUAGCCGGUCUCACUCUCUCUCUACAUAUAUUCCUAAAACUCACUGCACAUUCACAAAUCCCUAGUGCAUGGGUACAUAUAAUUAGUAACGCAACAGGUAUAUAUGAAGCUCGCGCCAACUCUAUAAAAAAUAUGGUUCAAGAUAAUGGUCAAACAAUGGAUAUCCUUCUUAAUAAUUAGAUUAUAUUAUAAUGAUUGAUAACACAUCACCGUGCUGCUCCCACUUGAGGUGGCAGCAGUAAAGGGAUGAUCUAUAUAUUAAUUAGUUUAACUAGUAGUGGGGUAAGUUCAUAGAAACUAAUUAUUAGGCAAAAGCUAUACAAAGUAGAACAGCUAAGCAGGUGAUGAUACGACCCAAGUUGGGGGACAUCAUUCGCCCUUCUUAGAAUUUCUAUGGUUUCACUUUUGCUGUGGCGCUCAACAGCAAUGAUUCUAGUUGAGUAUUUGAUAGAGAAAAUAAUCUAAAACUUUUCUAAACCUCAAAAGUAGGAACUUUAACUCUCUCGCUCUCUCUCUCUCUCUCUCUCUCUCUCUCUCUCUCUCUCUCUCUAUAUAUAUAUAUAUACACUUUUGUUACACUAGUAUUUAAUUAGUUAUCAUCCUAAUAAUGCUAUUCAGACAAUGCUUUGUUAAAUAAUGCAAUAUAUACUAUACAAUAAGGUGCAUUUGGCUCUUGGUGAUGUAGAAAGCCAAAUUUAAGUAUUUAAAGCAAAUAAAAACUGAUGGUGUACAUGUCGUCUCAUAUAUGCAUGAGAUUGUUAGUCUAAGAUGCGGCACUGACACCGAGAUAACUCCAAGGGACAUUACCCGAGUUUUUAUAGUUGCAUUAAAUGAUGGUAAGGUCGAGAUGCAGCAUGGGCUCUUAUUUUGUUGCAUAAAUGUAAGUAAAUUAUACCAUUGUUUAAUAGCUUAAGACUAUUAGAUUACUUGGUGUUGUUCCACAUAAUCCCUAUGAGCAUACUAGUUGCUUUGAUAUACAGCAGUUGUAAAAACUAGCAUUUUCUCUUAUAAGAAUCGUUCACUCUGAUACUAAUUGUGUAAACCUGCAGGAUCUAUAAUCACAAUGUAUUAUAGUAAAAAUUAAGAUAGUGUAAGAAAGAAAGAAGAGUCAUAAACUAAUUAUAUGCAAAAAAAAAAAAAAAAUCAACAUGUAUAUAUAGUAAGAAACUCAUCAUCCACUAAACUCUUAUUUUUAAUUAAAUUGUGGAAUAAGUUUGAAUUAUUAGUUCCACACAAAUACAUAGAGUAGUCGUCGUAUACGAAGUAUUUUGUUUUUUCAGAGAAAGAUAGUAUACUAUCAGCUUCGUUCAGAUUUUUAUGAAUGAACCUAACUAAGAAUGUGAAGCAAUAAGGCUCUGAACUUAAUUGGGACCUAAGAUACCAGCCAUCAAGCUCUUUGCCACCUCGAGUCCUCAUAUAUGAAGUUAAUUUGAAAAUUCAAUCAUUUAUGCCAUUAAUUGAAUAUAUCAGUGCAUGCAUGUCCACUUUUAUUGAUCAUGACAUCUAUGGAGUAGUGAGUACUCAUGCAUAUACAUGCCAUGCUUUUUUUUUUAGAGAAAUAGGUAGCACGCUACCCACUUCGUUUAUUUCAUUUAGAAAUAAACUUAGCUAGAAAUGUGAAUCAACUAGGAUUUGAACUUGGGUCUCGCGUAUCAACCACCAAGCCCUUUGCCACUUGCUCUAGAGACGGUCGGUAUGUACAUGCCAUGCUUAGACAAAUAAAUAUCUCUCUACAUUUUGUAGAAGGGAGAAAGGAUGCUAAUAACAAAAGGAGUUCAAAAAGAAAGAAAUGCAAUCCACGUGAGGAUAGAGUUCAUGCGUGUGGGUCUUCUCCAAUGCCAGCUACUACACAACAACAAAGAAUCAUUAAUGGUUUCACAAGUAACAACACUACUUCUCGAAGUUAAGAUUAGUUGUAUAUAUACUCAAAGGUAAGAUGCAUUAAUGGUUCAUGUAAUAAUUUUAGUCUCUGCGCUUUCAAUUUAAACACUUAGAUUAGCUCAUAAAUGUCAAAAAGCAAAUCUCAAGUUUCUUGUCUAAGAUGAUCAUUUUAUUGUCAUUUUAAUUAACUUAAAAAAUAAUUCAAUAUUAUUUUUUAUGAUCGAGAAUUUAGAGCAUGCAAAUCAAGUUUCCAUAUGGAAAUAGUAUAUAUAGGAAGCAUCCAUACAUUUUACCCUACUACUUUAUAAUGGGGCAUUUGGACUCUACAAUAGCUAGAAGUUUCCACACAAUGGCAAUUAUUCUUGUCAACAUGACUUCUUUCCUGUAACGUGUGUUACGUUCCGAGCAUGUGUUUGAUCCCUGGGAGUGGAACGUGACAAAGAGUGGAGUUGUAGUUACGUACAUGAAAAGAAGAGGUUUUGGUCAUUAAAUGAUGGUUUCUGAUUUACAUAGCAUUAAUGAUUCAGAGAGAUUCUUCUUAGUUCGUAGCAUUUAACCCAAAGAGUGACACAUCACGCAUAUUGCCUAGUGUACAAAUACAAUAUUGCACAUUACUUUCAAGCUAAGAGCUUUCAAAUAAUAACAAGUUAUGUGUUAAAGUCACUUCAUUACGUGUUGUAAGUCGAUGGGAAUUGUAUGUGGACAUGGGACAUGUUCUUUUGGUGGUGGCUUGUGGGUCCGGAGCCAGUUCGAUUGUGACUAUCCUAGAAUAGUACAAGUUAUCAGAAUUAGAUUUGCGCAAUGCAUGCAUGGGCCCUAGAUGGCCCCAACUCUCAAAUUAUAUACAGAAAAUUGGUGCUUAAUUAAUUUACAAUGAAUUAAUCAUUAGUUACUCAAAUAUCUGGGCUUAACAGGAUUAGUUAUUGUUUGCAUAUUAUUUACGUAAGGAUAAUUGGCACUACACAUUCAAAUUAGAAAAUUUUUCUCUAGUAUAGCAGCAGCAUGCAGGUUAUUAUCAUAUGCUUACUACAAUUUAGAAUGUAAAAAAUAAUACUUAAAGUCAAAGAAAUAAAGUGAGUUAUAAAUAAGGUGGUUUUUCUUUAAUAAACCAACGCAACCUGUAUACUUAAAAAGUGGAUGUAUAUAUUACACCAUAUUCAUCCAGGAUUUUUUUUUUAUCAAUUCUUUUCUUAAUAUUAAAAAUUUAUAAGGAGUGUCUAAAUUUUUGAGUAGAAAUGCUACAUGUACAUCUAAAAGUAGGAUAUAAAUUUUAUACCCUCCUGCCUAAGUGUUUAGACAAUUGAGUUUUUAUUAAAAAGAGCAAUAUUACCUAUACACAUAUAUAACAUAUAUAGGUGUAUUUACACACUAAUUAACCACUUUGUGGCAUAUAUUUGUUUAAUUACUUGCCUUAUCAAAUUCUUUUUUUAUUUUUCACCAAACUAUCAAAAAAUAUUGUUAACUCUUGAAUCGAAGGGUGCAACAUAUACACUCCUCGUAUGAGAUGUACAGAUAGUUUUUUUUUUUUUUUUUUUUUUUUUUUUUUUUUUUUUUUUUUUUUGACUAAAAACUCCGAGAGGAUUUAGGGUUUCACUCCACACAAGCAAAUCCCAAAAACAAUUUACAAAACUUUAUAUACCGCUAUGUUAAUUACUUUCUAUUUAUAUUUUACCUUUUAGAAAAAGUAAAGUUCAUAUUUAUCUAAUGCUUUCUCGCAGUUUUUAGUCAACCACUUUUAAUUUGGGCCCACAAAAAAUAAGGAUGCAUGCAUCAAAAGAUUCGAAACAAGUGUUCGACCAACUUGAAAAUAUAAUAAUAUAAGAUUAAGCAAACAAGGCCAAAAUAAAGACAUGGAAAACCCUCCAAUUACGCAAAAAAAUCGUGGGAAUAACCAAGCACGAAAGGUCGGUACUUGAGCUCAGGGACGAAGCUAGCACUCGAUUUUGAGAGAAGCCAAAAUACAUACAAAUUAAAAUUUUAGCAAAUAAACAAGAUUUAUGUAGUCAAAUUUUUGAUGAGAAAACAUAUUGACUAAAUAAUUAGUGUAAUAAAAGCAUUACCCUUUUAAUAUAUACUUACUUAACUUCUAAUUAUUUUAUUUAUAUUAUUUCACUCAAAUAACUUUGAAAUUUAUGAAAUCUAAUAAUAAUUCAGUGAAUGAUUUAAUUUCUUAAUUUUUAUUAAAUAUAAUUGUGACAAUUGAUAGACUAUUAGUUGACAGAGCUAUUAACUUUAAUGUAACCUUUAAUUUAAUUAAAUAAAAAGAUUAUCUAAAAUAAUUAGAAGUUAUGAAGAUACUAAAUAAAAAAAAUAAAAAUAAAUUCAGAGUCGAGAGAGCACUAUGUUAGUGCCAAGAACUUAAAAAAAAAACAGAUUACUCAAUAGGGGUGUAAACGAGGCGAAACACGAGCGAGCUGGUGGUUCGGCUCGUGUUCGGCUCGUUAUUAAACGAGCCGAACAGAGGCUGGCUCGUUAAAGUAUCCAGCCGAAAAUUCAGCUCGUGUUCGGCUGUUUAGCUCACGAGCGAACACGAGCUGGCUCACGAGCUGGCAAACGAACAAUAAAUUAAAAUGAUUAGAUUAAAUAUAUAUAAAAAAUAAAUUUAUCAAUCUUAUCCAUUAGACUUUGAUCUAAUAGUUAAAAUUUUACAUAUAAAUGAGUCUUUUUAUAAUUAAGCUCGCAUUUAUAUUUUUUUUUAGCUAAAAUAAAAUAAUAAAAUAUAUAUAUAUAUAAUUAUUUAUUUAUAUAUAAAAUAUAAAUUAAAUAAAUUAUAUAAAUAAAAAUAUAUGUAUUCGAGCUGUUAUCGAGGCGAACACGAGCGAGCUGACCUAGCUCUGUGUCGGCUCGUUUAUUAAACGAGCUGAAAAAUUCAGGUCGGUUCGGCUCGUUUACUAACAAGCGAGCCGAUUUGAGCUCAUUUCGAGCCGAACACGAGCUGGCUCGCGAACAGCGAGCUGGAUUGCCACCCCUAUUACUCAAUAUACUUUAAAAUUGAAUAAAAAUAUAUUUUUAAAAUUUUUCAUAUGUAAGAGACUAUUAUGCAAAUUAUGAAAAGUUGGGGGGCCAUACCAUGACCCCCUUCAGCCCCCACCACAUAGCUCCGCCCCUGCUUGAGCUCAAUAUUGUAUUGUUGACACUUAGCAUCUUUUAUAAGAACCAAUAUCCAAGCAAACUAUUUACACUUUCAUCUUUUAUAAGAACCAAUAUCCAAGCAAUCAAGAAAAGUUCGACAAUAAUGCAAGAUGUAAUUACCGAACCAACAAUCCAUUGUGGGACACAACGUGGUUUAAGUAUUGUCGUCUCGACCGGGGUGAUUAGAGGAAUCCUUGGAUCAGCUAAAAGACUUUACCGUCUCUAUUAACCAACUCAGAUUGUUCCAAUUAAGAAGCUUAAAGCUAAUAUGAGACGGGCGAUGAUCCUUAUUUCGAAUGAGUGUGCAAUUAAUGAUUCUUAAUUAGGACAAUCGAUCUCCUCGGCGCGUGCGGGACCGAGUUCGUUAGAACAACACUAAAUUGCAGGAAAGAACCAAGGAGGUACGAAAGGUGCUUCUACAGGCAUAUUAAAUCGCUUGAACCAUCCCAAAAACUUAAGUAAACAGAUACAGAAACUCUUUUACCUUUUCUGCUAGCUAUUUACCAAAGAGAAACUUCACACUUUUCUAAACAAAUAUUAUGCAGAGAAAGGCCAAAAACACUAUGAUUGUAAUAAAGACACAUGAAGAAAAGUAAAACUUGAACUUGUCGUAGGAAUAGGGAACGCACGAACUACUCCAGUAACAGUACAAACUAAUGCGGUCAAAGUUAGGCGCAAUAAAAACAAGAUACAUACAUGGUGUCCAUCACGAGCUACAUUAUCGAUCCAACCCAACCUUAUAUAUAUAUAUAUAUAUACAGUAAUAGCCGACAAUAUAUAUAUUUAUAUAUACAUAAGAUAAGAUAAUAUUACGUGGCGUUUACGUAGUGUGCAUGAAAAUUCUUUGGCUUUAUAAGGCUCUAUGGUGCUCAACUUUUAACCAACACAGUGGCACGAGAUAACGCGAUCGGAUGAGACCUAACUCUCCGUCCGCAUACUCGUUAGCCCAGUUGCAUGAAACCACCGCUACUUUGCUGAAGUUUUGCAGUGCGGAUAGGUACGUACGAAGCUCGUCCCUAUCCGGAGCGACCGCACGAGCUCUAUCCUAAACGGACGGCUGAGAUCUCUCCGCGGCAAUGCGCUGCAUCGUUUUCUCGUGCCUGUUCAGAACCGGAGGGGGGGUGGGGGGGGCGGGGGAGGGGAACAGUGUCGCAUGCGGACGGACGGCGCCUAACGCCAUUAAUAGGGAAAUGGUGGGGACCCACCUUAUCUACUUUUGGGCCCACUAACGGCUGUGAUCGAAGGGGGGAACGGUCGAUCACCGCCGUUGGUUCGCAUGCGGACAAAGUGGGGGAGUCAGGGGUGCGGUGCCCGCAUACAGUGGCCUGCUGCUAUAUUGGGAACAGUUAGGCGUGGUGGGGAAAUGCGCACAUUAGUCAAAAAGGCGCACCUUAUAGAUUUUUUUUUUUAUAUAUGUAUUUUAAUUUACAUUUAAUAAGUUAUUUAUGUUUAGGUGCUUCUAUAAUUUUUUUUAGAAAAAAGUUAUUUCCGUUUUAGGGUAGCGAGGAGUGUCUCCAUGUCGCGGACAGUGGAACCUACCCUACGUCCGCAUAGAGAGUUUUUAUAGGGUGAUUUGGAUGUCGAAGUUAACGUAAUCACGUAGCUACGUACCCUAUCUAGACAAAAAAAAUUUAUGCUGAAAUUACUCCUAAAAAUAGUUAUAAAUAAAAGGAGUUGUAGUGGUAAAAAUUAACGGCGUGCUAUGGGAUAUGCACAAUCGCGUAGGUAAUUUUUGUUCGUCCAUGUUGAUCUCAACAGCUCAUCCACCCUGCGUGGAGAUUCGUGCUUGAGCAUCUCCAAGCCAGCUAGAGGCAUGGUGUAACCUUAUCCAUACAUUAUCAAAAAAUUUUAAAAAAAAUAUUAAACUAAGCUCAUUUAAUAUUCAGGAUUAGUGGUUGGUACCGAAGAUCCAAGUUCGAAUCCUAGUUGAUUCACAUUUUCAGCUAAGUUUAUUUCUAAAAUGAAAUAAAAGAAGCGGGUAGCAUGGUACCUAUCUCUCAAAAAAAAAAAAAAAUAGAUCCCGAAAGUAAUUAUGCGUCAUAGCGGGUGAACCCGGUUAAUUUGUAGAAUGUCUACAUAAUAAUAAUAUAUUUUUUUUUUAAGAGAGAUAAGUAGCACGCUACCCGCUUCGUUUAUUUUAUUUAGAAAUAAACUUAGCUGGAAAGGUGAAUCAACUAAGAUUCGAACUUGGGUCCUGAGUACCAACCACCAAACUCUUUGUCACUUGCUCUAGGAAAGAGACUGUUGGUUAUAAUAAUGUAAAUUAUUACGCGGAAUGGUUGGGUUACAAAUUUUAAGACCUCUAUACCUGCAAGUUACUUAUGCUGACGUGGUGGACGUGGUUCAGGAUGGAAAACCAUGAGCAGGUGACGCCAGCGAGAUCGCGGGGCCCACCCCCGUGCUUUCUGUUUCGCGCGCCUCCAGCGCGUCAGUUCGGUGCCGUUUCCUUCCCGCCCUUUUCUUGCUCACGUAACUAUCCUGACAAUUUACUAUUUCUGGAAGCCAGUGCGGGCCCCACCCACCCCUUCUUCCACUCCAUGUGCGUAACAAUAUAUUUUUAUUUUAUAUAAAAAUAAAAAUUUUAAAUAUUUGAUUAAUAUGUAAUUACUAUAUUAUUUUGUUAUUUUUUUAAGAGAUAUAUUAUUAUUAUUAUUAUUUUAUUAAACUUUUUUCUCUUUUAUUUGGUGCAAUAAUUAGUUUGAGAUAAAUCUGACGUGGAAUAACUCCGUAGUGGAAAUGACUUUUUCACUUUCACUGAGUAUAUAUCUUUUAUUUAUAUUGCUAAUUUUUUAUCAAUAUAACUUUUUAUCCAGUCAUGUAACAUGGCCAUCAACUCCCUGUAUAUACACUAGUUAAAUUUUGAUUUAAAUGUCAAUAUAUUAGCAACAUAAAAGGAUAGUCGAUUAAAAAAAAAAAAGUGGAACUGAUACUGCUCUAGGCAGUAAUCAACUAUGCUUCCACUUUGUUUUCGAUGUUGGGACUUUCAAAUCGACGAUCGGCUCCGUUAGACUUGAUCUAGAGUAUUUGAAGUAUCUAGAAAAUAAAUUUUGCGAUUUUUCGAUAUCAUUUGCCUAGUGAUCGAAGUGGCUCAAAAUCAACGGCUGAAAAUAAAAAUCUCACAAAAUAUGAUGAUAUGACAUUAAAAUUUUAGAUCAAAGUUAUUGAUCUUGUUUUAUAUGGUAUAAAGAAUUUUCUAUCAAAAUUUCACGUGAUUUGGAUAUUUCUACACCGUUAAACUUGCAACCGGCUCACCACGGCCGUUAAAAUUAUUGAUUUUGAGCCCCUUCGAUCACUAGGCAAAUGAUAUCGAAAAAUCGCAAAAUUUAAUUUCUUGGUACUUUAAAUACUCUAGAUCAACUCUAACGGAGCCGAUCGUCGAUUCGAAAGUCCGAACAUCGAAAACAAAGUGUAAGCACGGAGGCCUCCGUGCUUACGAAAGCAUACCAGCCCACUCUAUAUAUAUAUAUAGUUGGGCUGGAAUAUUAUUAAUAGCAAAAAAAAUUUUUUGCUAUCAAAUUUUAACCAUUAGAUAAAAAAUUAUAAUAUUAGAAUAAUAUUAGUUCUUUAGGGUUGAGUGGUCCCCCUAGGAUUGAGUGGUCGCGAUUGGGUUAUAAUAUUUAAUCCAAUGGUUAGAAAUGACGAAAGGAAUUGAUCUAAAUGGUAAAAACUUGAUAGCAAAAAAGAUUUUUUGCUAUCAAUAAUAUUAUAGCCCAACUUUCUCUCUCUUUAUAUAUAUAGUUUGGCUGCUCUACUAAUUAACAAUAGUACUAAACUUUUGGUACAAUCGAGUUUCUACCGUUAGGUCUAUCCUUUGAUCAUUUUCAUCCGUUAGAUUAUAUUAUUUAAUCAACCACCACUCAAUCCUAGGAGACCACUAUCAUCCUAACCGCACACCCUUUUAUCUAACGGUCGAAAACUCGAUAGUAUUAAGCGCUUGAUAUUAUCGAUAAUAUAAUAACAUAAUUCUAUAUAUAUAUAUAUAUGAGCUCUUAUAAUUUUAGUGCCAAGUCAUUGAUACUCGUAGGUUUUCAAUCCUUCGAUUAAGAGAUAUGCAGUUAGGAUAAUAAUGAUCCCUUAGGAUUGAAUGGGUGGUUAGUUGAAUAGCACGAUUUAACGAGUGAAAUUAAUCAAGCUGUAGAUCUAACGACGAAAAACAUACAAGUACCAAGUCCUUGGUGCUUUUAAAAGCACUAUAGCCGAACUAUAUAUAUAUAUAUAUAUAUAUAUAUAUAUAUAUAUAUAUAUAUACUAAUUAGAAUUACGAGCAAGACCUGAUAUGUGCAAUUGAGAAACCACAAUAGAAAUGUAUUUUUAUUUAUUUUUGUAAAUAAUAACACGUCGCAUAAAAUCAAGCUAAUACAAUUAUGGUAUAAUUUUAUUUAUGCAAUCACACUGAACGUGGAGAAGUAUGGCUUCGUAUAUUGUCUUUAAAUUUACUUUGGCCGUAUAAUUAGAUCACAAUAGGUAAUGGUCCUUGGAAUUUUACUGCAACAAAGUUCUUACCCUAAAACAGAACCUUCACAGUUUAAUACAUUUAUAUAGAUUGUACAAAAUAUUAAUUAUUCUAGAUAUAACAAUUAUCUAUAGUGUUAUUUUAGAGUGUUUUGUUAAAUAAUAUUGCACCAUACACUAGCAUCAAAUGCAAAUAAAAUAUAGGAGUACCUCAAAAUCGAGAAAAUCUUCUUUGUCAGAGUUACACCAAAUAAAAAUUAUAAUAUUCAGCCAUAUUUUUUUUCAUAUUGCACAUAAUAACAAUCACAAUUAUUUUUUAAAUAUAUCAUUUUAUUAUCUAUUAUUGUAUUUUUUUUAUUAGACAUUUUGUCACUAUUACAGUAAAAACUUUUUUUUUUUAAUUAGAGUGGGACCCACGCCCUGAGAUCCAGCCAGCCAAUGGGGUCGCGCGCCAGGCUCCAGACUGGCAUCUCCGAAGAGCCCGAAAAGUACCCGAAACGCACGUGCGAGCGCCCACGUGUCACCGUGCCACAAUCGAUCUUAGCUCUUGCGUUGUACGCCAAGCGUUAUAAUAAUUAAUAAUAAUAAAUCUCAACACCAGAGCAUUAAUAAUUAGUUAACACCAAAAUUACAAACUGUCAUGUUGGUUAGCAUGCAUAUGGGAAGAUCAUCUGAGCAUUCGUACGCACGUGCCACGCUCUGAGAGCCAAAUUCUUGUUGAUUCUCAUGUGCGAUCAUCUUGUUACAUAAACAUAUAUAUUAAGUUCUAUGUUAAUCAAAUUCAGUAUAUGUGCCUCGACUGAUUAUAUAAAUUUAAAAUUUAUCUAAUAUAAUACGUAUGAAAUUAUCAUUUUAUUUAUUUCCGAAAGCUUAAUCGCCAAAUAAUAAUAUUUUAAUUACAGGUAGCAUCUAUAAGAUUAGAUUUUGAUUUUAAAUAGUUAAUCAUGUAAUAAUAAAAUCUGCAGUGCAUGAGAUGUACGGAUGCACUGGGACUAGAAUAUUAUUUUUCUGAUGAGAAAGAGAGAGGCCAACUGUAGCCAACGAGUGGAUCAGGGCCCUCCAGUGAAUGAUGGACGGUGUUGAUUGAGGGAGAAGCAAAGUGCCCGGUCCAGCGAGGGCGCCCCACGUUUCAUGGGGCGAGCACGAAACGUGUAAAUCCCUCGGAGCAAGGCCCACCGUACGAUCUGUGGGGCUCGGGCCCACCACAGUGAUCAUAAGCCGCCAGAUUAGCCCCCCCACACGCGCGCGCUCGGUAGGGGCCCUAACGUUUCGACGCGUGUGGUACAGUGGGGCCCGAGGUGGAGAGGAAAGGAGAGGUAAAAUUGUAUGGAAACCCCUCAACCAUAGAGUAUUUGGAAAUUGUACACAAAAGGAAACAUUUCUCUGUUUUAUUGAGAUCCCCUUAAAUAUCAAUUUUUGGAAAUUGAGUUUUUCUAACUCAUUUUAUUCAAAUAUUUUGUUAAGUUUAAUGGUCCUAUUAGCUUUUCAUUAGUACUUGUUUCAAUUUUAUUCGCUAAAUUUUUUAAAAAUAGUAAAUUUAAUAAAACUAUCAAUAAAUUUGAUAAAAUUCUCAAUUUUUUGAAAAAAAAAUAAUUUUCAAAAUUACACGUUCAAGUGGUCUCAAUAAAAAAAAAUGGUUAGGAGAUCCAUUCAAAAUAGCUCAUAAUUGAGGGUGUCUCCGUACAUUUUUAUAGAAAAAAAAAUAAAUUGUUAGAGAAAUUAAAGGAGCAAUCCUGUUUGUACAUCUAGAGUCUCGGUAUACAUCUUACACCAUAGAUUUUUUAUGACUAGGCCAUAGAAUUACUUUAUUAGUCUUAUUAAUUUUUUUGCUAAAAAAAUGUUAGGAAUUUUCUAAAUAGAAUGUAAGAUGUAUAUUCCUAUAUAAGAUGCACAGAUAGAAUUUUUCAUAUAAAAGAUGUUAUUUUAUAUUAUUUGUGAUAGUAAAAAGAAAAAAGAUGGCUGUUGAAAAUUUUUAAGAAAAAUAUUUUUUUAUAAUUCUAACAGUUAGAACAUUUGGAGAGACAUAUUUAUAAUAGCAAAAAUAUCAUUUCACUUAUUUUCUCUUAAAAGAUGAACAUUACCUUAACGAUAAUAUAAUAAAUCAAAAGGAUAAAUAUAAAUAUCGCUGAACUUUUGUAUGAAUAAAUAUGAAAAAUUAAAUUUUGUAGGAAAAUAUAUAUUUGCUAUUUGAUAUAUUUACAUGAAUCUGUAUGAAAGUAACCCAUAGGCAUUUGUGGAACUAAUAAAAGUUAAAAUGAAUAAAAGUUGCUAAGAUAUUAUUAGUAGAAAGAAAUAAAGUGUAAAGGUCUCUUUUCAAAUUAACCUGUAACUGAGGGUUGAGGGACUCUGGUAGCAUUUUUACCAAACUUACCAGCAAUGAAUCACGAUAUAAUGGUUGGAGAAACGGUGGCCAAAGUGUUACGGGGUAGGGAAAAACGUACGGUGAUUAAAGCACAACUAAUGGAAUUAAUGGUUAGUUAGGUUAGGUUUAAAAUUUCUGCUUUUGACAUGUGUUCUCAUAUAAAGUUCCAACAAAAAGAAAAAAGAAAAAAAAAGGAAAUUUUGCCACCAACUAUAAAGGUCAAAUUGUUAAGCAAGAAAGGGAAUUAAGGAGUCAGCUAAUAGAGAUCGGUCACGUUGUGGCCAACUGUUGUGGAGUUUUUUUUUUUUUUUGAAAAAAAAAUAAUAAUCUUUUUCUAUUUUGUUUAUAAAGUGCCCCACCACUUUGCAAAUUAGAAUUUUUUUUAAGAAAAAUUUAUUUGGAGAACAUUUAUACUUUUAUUUCAGAAUGGACUAUAUAAUAAAGAAUAAAAGGAAUAUGACAAUGGCGGUAAAAAAAAGAUAUGUUUUGGAGGUUCAAAAUUUUUUUCAUAUAUAAUAAAGCGUUGUUAAAAGAAGAAUAAAAUAGCUAAGCUAGCUAGGUAAUAAACAGUAGUGAACAUCCUUAUCAAGUGAUUUUUUUUUUUUUUUUUGUUGCUUUAUAUUUAUGGGAUGUAUGAGAAAGGAAUAUGAAAAUUAGACCUAGGCAGCAAGGCUAGCCUUUUUGCCAAUUCAAAAAAAAAAAAGAAGGAAAAGAAAAGAAAAGAAAAGAAAAGAAAGGAAAAAACGGCCGAUUAAAUUAAUACUCGAAAUCGCACUUUCCCGCAUAUAUUAAUAGCUCCUCCUCACUGGUAACCCCAUCCCCUCCUCAAAGUCCUCAUUCAAAGGAGCCAAACACACACCACGGAGAGAGAGAGAGGGGGAGGGAGAAAGAGUUUAUAGAGAGUUGCAAUUAAGGAGAGCUAGAGAAACAGAGAGCUCUCUAAAGCUCCUCUCUCUCUCUCUGUCUCCAUCUCUCUCUGUUUUUGCCUCCCUGUAGAAGCAGAGCACCAUUCGUGAACCCCGCAAAAGGGCAACAUCUCUGAAGCGCGAAUCGACGAAACCCAGCAAGCAAAAAGAGUCCACCUUUGCGCCCAAUUCGAAUACUCCGCCUAUUGCAGCAGCAGCAGCUGCUGCUGCUGUGUGCAACAACACGACCUUCCCCGCCGCGUCCAUGGCGAACCCGGAGAAAGCCCAACUCCCCUCCAACCUGUACGUGGCCCUGGUCCCCUUCCCCGACGCUGCCCCGCUGAAGCCGCCAAGCUUCCCCACGCUGUCGGAGACGCUGGGGGAGGUGGCGUCCCUGUUCCGGCUCUCGCUCCCCAUUGCGGUGACGGCGCUGCUGCUCUACUCGCGCUCCGUGGUGUCGAUGGUGUUCCUCGGGACCCUCGGCGAGCUCCCGCUCGCGGCGGGCUCGCUGGCCAUCGCCUUCGCGAACAUCACGGGCUACUCGGUGCUCUCCGGGCUGGCCCUGGGCAUGGAGCCGCUGUGCUCGCAGGCGUUCGGGGCGAACCAGCCCAGGCUCCUGGCCCUCACCCUCCACCGCUCCGUGCUCUUCCUCCUCUGCUCCGCGCUGCCCAUCGCCCUGCUCUGGCUCCACACGGCCCAGAUCCUCCGCCUGCUGGGGCAGGACCCGGACAUCGCCCGCCUCGCCCAGAGCUACCUCCGCUUCUCCCUCCCGGACCUCCUCUCCUUCUCGCUCAUCCACCCCGUCCGCAUCUACCUCCGCUCCCAGGGGAUCACGGCGCCCGUCACCGCCGCCGCCGCCGCCGCCGCCGCGCUCCACGUCCCGGCCAACCUGCUCCUCGUGCGCCGGCUCUCACUCGGCGCCCCCGGGGUCGCCGCCGCCGCCGCCGCCUCCAACCUGGCCCUGCUUCUCUUCCUCCUCUGCUCCCUCCGCCGCGACCCGGCCCUGCAGCGCCGGGGCGGGGGCUGGGGCUGGGGCGAGCGCCUCUCCGGGUGGGGGCCCCUGGCGCGGCUGGCGGGGCCGAGCUGCGUGUCGGUGUGCCUCGAGUGGUGGUGGUACGAGCUGAUGAUCCUCCUCUGCGGCCUCCUCCCGGACCCCAAGCCCACCGUGGCCGCCAUGGGCGUGCUCAUCCAGACCACGGCGCUCGUCUACGUCUUCCCCUCCUCGCUCGGCUUCGGCGUGUCCACGCGCGUCGGCAACGAGCUCGGCGCCAACCGCCCCGCGCGCGCGCGCGCCGCCGCCGCCACGGGGCUCGCGUGCGGCUUCGCCGCGGGGCUCGCCGCCAUGGCCUUCGCCCUCGCCGUCCGCGCCCGCUGGGCCCGCAUGUUCACCGACGACGCCGACAUCCUGCGCCUCACGGCCGCCGCGCUCCCCAUCGUCGGGCUGUGCGAGCUCGGCAACUGCCCCCAGACCGUGGGCUGCGGCGUCCUCCGCGGCACCGCGCGCCCGGCCCACGCCGCCCAAGUCAACCUCGGCGCCUUCUACCUCGUGGGCGCCCCCGUCGCCGUGGGCCUGGGCUUCGGCCUCGGCGUGGGCUUCUGCGGCCUCUGGAUGGGCCUGCUCGCGGCCCAGGUCUGCUGCGCCGGCCUCAUGCUCUACGUCGUCUGGACCACCGACCGCAGGCGCGCCGGGCCCAGCUGCUCACGUCCGCGCCCGCCCCCGCCCCCGCCCCCGCCCCGGACGUCGAGAAGGCCGGGGCGAUGCUGAUUGGCCCGGAGCCCCAGGAGGGAGGAGACAAGGUGAGCUGCUACCAGCCGCUGAUCUCGAUCAGGACGGUGGUGGAGAUCGAGAGAGGAUGAUGAUGAUUUGUAAUAAUGUAAUGUAACCUAUCUACGACACUCUGCUGCGCUCUUACCGCGUGGAACGAUAUGAGAGACCAAGAGCGAGAGCGAGAUUUUUUUUUUUUUUUAUUUUUCUAUUUUUUUUUUCUCCUAGCUUGUUUUUAAAUUUGAUGGGGGAUUAUUGAUGAGGGUGACUUAAUUACAAGGAAUUAUUACUUAAUUCACAUGGUUUGGGGUUUUCCCUUUUUUUUCUUUUUAAUUUGACUCGAGUAAUUCAAAAGUUCACUUUUUGAAUUUGCUGUACAUUUUUAUAAUAAUGCUCGUGAAUUUACAGCAAAGACAUGUGAGAAUGAAUGGUUCACUUUCUAAUUAUUUUCCCCUGAAGUUUUAGUCCUGCAAAAUAUGCCAAACAUAUUUUUCGUACUAUUAUUUCUCGUUAAUUAAUUAGUAACGUGUUUCAUUUAUUGUACUUAACAAACGAGGCGGUAAACAAGGUCCAUGCAAUAAUUUUACGUUACACCAAAAGGUGAACAUGUAUAUUCGUUGAAGCCCGAAUGCGUAAACUAUAAUAUUUAUCACACGUCUCUCGAUCCUCACGUUUCCAUCCGGUGGAGGUUUUCAUAUACAGGGCAAAGUUGAUUAUGAAAUGCUUCUUUAAUUUGCGCACGACGUUGAUUGAUUCGCAAUCAUCCAAACGUUGUUCGGCAAAUAAACUACAUCAUCUUUUGUAGUUCCACGCAUGUGUAUCUUGCUUCAACACGAGGAUUUGCUUUUGUUAGUUCACAACGUUUCGUAUGCCACUUCGUGCCAAUGAGUGGCAUCUACUAAUCAAUCAUGAUUAACGUUUGUUCUCAUUGCUAUUUACUGUUAAAUUAAAUAAAACAAUAAUUAUUUUUUAAAAACUUAAAACUGUUUUAUUGUAUAUUCAAAACUUCCUCUAAUUGGUUUGAGACAUUUUGAUAGGUAGAUUUAAUACACGAAAUUAAAUUAAAUUAAAUAGCUGGUAGAGCUCGAAUUAAAACCUUCUGCUCUGAUAUUACUUGUAAAAUAUAAAUAUCUAAAAUUUACAAUCUAAUCCGUCUUUAAUUAGUGAAAAAGCAGAUCGAGAUGCUUACAUCAUUAUAUUGAGCUAAGAAAUCAUCUAUUUGCUGAAUUAUUUUAUUAUCGUUGAUUUUAUGGGUAAGUCAUGUCCUGCCGUUUCGACAAUAUUUCUAGAGAAAGGCUUCUUAUGGCUUGCGGAGUAUCUCGAAUUCAAAAUCCUCUCCAUCCAAUUAAGUUUAUAUACAUCUUCUAGAUUUAAAGUAGUUUACAUUAAAAUUACAAAUUUUGUUUUAAAAUCAGCAACUUUAUAUUACCUUCUCAGUACAAACAGACACUCAAAAGCAAUUAUCUAUCAUCAUACACGUGGCUUGUUUGACUUUUAGGGCAUGUUUGUUUUGGUGUAAGUGGAGUGAUGAAACUCAAGUUCUAUUACUUCCGUUAUUUGUUUUGGUGUAAGUGAAAAAUAUAACGUAACUCAAGUUACGUAAGACCUCCACUUCACCUACUCUCGACUUCCUCUUUUGAAGUGCCGAACUCAACUUCCACCACACUCAACCUCCUCUAAAAUAUUUAUUAAACAGUAAAACCUAAACUCUACUUCCCUUAUAAUAGAUUAGAAUUACCUUAUUUAUAAUAAAUUAGGAUUAUCUUUAAAUAAUAAUAAAAAAAUUAAUUAUAUAAUAAGUUAAAUUUUAUAGCAGUAAAUUUACUAUUAUGUUUAGAAGAUAAUGGGAUCCACUUAUAUCAAAACAAACAACGGAACUUACAAAACUAAUUUCGCCAGCACCAAGUUACAUCAAAACAAACAGAAGAAAUAAUUGAAUUUAACUUUCAGGCUAUACGAGUUACGUCAAAACAAACAACCAAAAAAUAAUUACACUUCAGGGAAACUCAAACACCACUGCACUUGACUUACGUUGGAUCUACAGAUUCGUCAAUCCAAACGGACCCUUAUAGUAGAGAAGCUAUCCCAAAAUUUUGACACGAUUAUCAUGACUCAUGACUAUAUAGAGUCCGCCUAUGAUACUUGUAAAAGCGCUUAUAAUUUUUUUAUCGUUAAAUCUACAUUUUUGAUCAUUUUUAUCUAUUAAAUUAUACUAUUCAACCAACCACCCACUCAACUCUUAGAAGGCCCACAUCAUCCUAACUUCACAUUCCUUAAUCAAAGGGCCGAAAACUUACAAGUACCAAUGACUUGGUACUUUUAAAAGUAUAGGAGCUCAAUUUUGACUAUAUAUAUAUAUAUAGAAUUAGGCUGGAAUACUAUUAAUAGUAAAACGCUCUUUUUGCUAUCAAGUUUUUAAUCCUUGGAUGAAACAUUGUAAGGUCGGGAUGAUAUUAGUCGGUUAGAGUUGAGUGGUCCCCCUAAGNCUCACCAGGGGGAUCCCAACUCACCAGGGAUAACCCAAUAUCAUAAAUUAGGUUACCAAUCUUUAUUACUUUUCUCAACUAGGUUUCCGAUUUUUUGACCAUCGUUAUUACCCUAAAACGAUGAUUAUCAUCGGGUCAGGUUGAGAGAGAGAGCAGAGUAGAGAGAGAUAUAUAUAUAUAUCAUCUCGAUGAUAUGAUAGCCUUCGUAUCUCCUAGAGCACGAAGGUUAAAAAACCGAGAAUCUAGUCAGGAAAAUUAGUAAAGAUUAUAAACUUAAUUAUAAUAAUAGGAUGCCCCUGGUGAGUUAAGAUCCCCCCUAGCAUUAAUAAGAUUAGUAUGUUAAGAACUAGGUUACCAGUUUUUUUAACUUUCAUAAUUUAAGAAAUAUAAAAGCGAUUGUAUAUAUAUAUAUAUAUAUAUAUAUAUAUAUAUCACUCUCUCUCUCUCUCUCUCUCUCUCAGGCCGAUCUCAGGCCGAUGAUAUGAUAACUAUCAUGGUUCGGAAACCAUGAUAACUCAAAAGAUGGUAAUCUAGAUGAGAAACUAGUAAAGGUAGGCAAUCUAAUAUGAUAAUUUGGUUGGUGGGUGAGUUGAGAUCCCCUGGUAAUAGUAGGAUUGGCGUGUAGGAAAGUAGGUUGUCGAUUUUUGAGUUAUCAUGAUGCCCGAACCAUGAUAACUAUCAUAUCAUCGUAUUAAGAUAUAUAUAUAUAUAUAUAUAACUCUAACCGACUAAUAUCAUCCUGACCCUACAAUUUUUCAUCCAAGGGUUAAAAACUUGGUAGCAAAAAGAGCGUUUUACUAUUAGUAGUAUUCCAGCCUAAUUCACUAUAUAUAUAUAUUUUAUAUAUAUUAUAUUUUUAUGAGUAUAGAGUCAUUCGUACUCAUAAGUUAUUUUCGAUGAUAGAGCUUCUAAAUCGACGAUCCACUCCGUUAAAUAUGAUUUAGAAUAUUUAAAACUUUUAAAAAAUAAAUUUCAUAAUUUUUCAAAAUUAUAAUAAAGUCCAUCAAGCGGGCAUAAAAUAAACAGUUAAAAUCAAACGACGUCCUAAAAAUAAAUGAUCUGAUCCUUCAAUUUAAGAUCUAAGGUAUUGAUCUUUAUCUAGAUAAUGAAUAGAAUUUUCUAUAAAAAAUUCAACCGAUUCCGAUUCUUUUACACCGUUAACCUAGUAAAUAUCUCAUACCGACCGUUAAAAAAUAUUAAUUUUAAAAUCUUUUGAUCACAAGGUAAAUAACAUUAAAAAAUUAUAAAAUUUGAUUUCUAUAUGUUUUAAAUACUCUAAAUAAUAUUUACUGGUAUGAAUCGUCAAUUUGAAAGCUUUAUUAUCGAAAACGAUUAUACUUAUAAAAGUAUAGUAGCCAGAUUUUAUAUAUAUAUAUAUAUAUAUAUAUAUAUAUAUAUAUAUAUAUAUAUAUAUAUAUAUAUAUAUAUAUAAAACUUUUAGAAUCCUAUCAAAAUCAAUUUCAAUAUCAAGCAUGUGUUUACCCAUUUGGGUCUCAUUAUCUCAAGUUUAAUCAUGUAGUUUAUUGUUCUCGUUUCCGGGUCAAAUCAAUUGAGUAGUUACACAAUGAAUGCAACACUUCGUGGGAUUCCCGGUAGGAAGGGAAACAAUCACGUGCACCACCACGCAUUUGAAUCAAUGUACAUCACAUUCUUAUUUUUCUUUUAUUUUUUUUCUUAAUAAUAAUCUCUCUCUUUAAGUUAUAUCAAUCGAUAACCCCCCUCCUUUUCGUUCCCUAAGUAGACGUUCUAGCUUCCCCUCACAUGAACAAACAUACAAAUUUUCAUCACCUUUCCCCCCUCAUCUUUCAUUUUCACAAAGCUAUUACAUAUUACCUGCACCAGAUGUGUCCAUAUAUAUCGCGAGCACCGUACCAGAUUCAAAAUUAAAAUCUAAUUCAAUUAAUAAACGUGAUUUACGUUAUCUAUAUGGUUAGAAAAUAUACUAUAUUAAGUAGUUUUACAAUUCAAGAAUAUAGAAAAAGAAAUAUCGCUUGAUUUACGGUCUUAUUUAAUUUAACGCAUAAAUAUCUUAUUCCGCAAAUUUUCUUUGGUUAAUUUACUCGAAAACCUCCUGAGUGUGAUCAAAAAUCUAAAAUAGUAUAUAAUAUUUAGAUUUUAAAUUAUUUUUUAAAAUAAAAUAAAUUGAUUUGUAUGCAAGUAAAAUAUGCUAUUCUGCCAAAUAGUGGAUGCCACGACAGCUUUCAAGUAGUAAAAAAGUUGAUUCUUGCCUUUCUAUUAUCAAAAAAAUAAAAUAAAAUCAUCCCGACGUCCAAAUACAACCUAUAAGAAAUUAUAUAAUGCCCAAGAUUAUAGUUUUUCAUAUGCAUAUAGUGCGUCAAAUAAGUUUGCAGGUUGUAAUUUGAGAUCUCUAUUGUACAGUUUUAGGAGCGCGAUAUAUGAGAUGUACUUACACACUCAGUGUAGACAAAUUUUUUUUUUUUUUUUUUCCCCUCUCUCUAACUCUCCUUUUUCUCUCUCUAUGGUCCCCCUACUCAACAAUUGUGCUUUAAACACUACGUACUAUAAAUAACACCCAGCUCCCUGGCACCAGACACGCAUGAUACUACACGAUUUGCUGGACCCUUUCCCAACAGUUUUAGUUAACAGGUUACAUCAAUUUUGGUGAGAGAGGAUCAAACCUGAUUAUUCAGGGAAAGUGAUAUAAAUAUAGUUUUAGAACUCAUGAAAUGAGGUCAAAUUUAGCAGGUAAAUAAUGACCAUGUUCAAUUAUUAUUCCUGUUAAUAUUAAAAUUAGCUCUGUAUGUUGAUAAAUACGGUCAUGUAUACGUAUUUCCAUAUAAAAUAUGUAUAUGCGAAGCCUCCGAAUUAUUGAUAUUACAGCUCGAUCAUUGUAUUUUUUAUCUAAAUACUUCGGUUGCGAUACAUUUACAAAUAUUUUUCUGUAGUCCUUGGCCAGUUUAAGAAUUAAAGUAUUCAAGUAAAAAGUAGGACCAAGUUGCAUUUUUUAGAUAACACAAUGAUUAUCCCAUACGCUUCGCCCACUUGUUUAGGCAUGAUUAAUGAGGUGAUUUAACUUGUUCUUUAGCUUUAGGUCUCAAUCUUUAAUAGCUUUGGCCUAAUUUCCUGAUUUUCGUAUAAUGACGACCGAAAAAAAGUGAGCCAUGCAUUAUUGCAUGUACAACUUGUAUAUAUGAAAGUGAUUACAUUUAUUUUUUAAGCAUGCAGUGUCCAUGGUUCCCAACGAAUUAUAAGUGCCAUUUUUACAAAUAAUUAACUUUUAGGUUUGAAGGUAAAUAUAUUAACUAUUAAGAUGGAUUUCAUUAAAAAGAAAAAAAAAAAACUACUAAGAUGGAUAAAAUGAUAGGGCUAAAUUUUGCACUAUAUAUUAUUAUUCCGACGGUAAGAUAUCUAUACUUAGCUUUGUAACUGUUGAGAAAUUUGUUUGGUUGCUGAAAAAAUAAUAUGCAAGCUAUAUAUAAAAGCCUCUUAUUUUGUUUGCUAUAUAUGUGCCAAACAAGCGAAUAUUUGCUUAAUUUACAGCGAAAUUAGAAAUUUAUUGUUUGGUCUCUGAGAUAAUAAUAUAUAAGCCAUAAUUAAGUAAUUGUAAUUAUUAUUAUUAUUAUUAUUAUUAUUGAGAGAGGUGAACAUGUGACAGGGGAAGCUGGGACGUCCAUUUAUGGAAAGCAACGGGGGGGAUUUACGCGGAGCACGUGGGGCGAUCGAUUGAGAUGGACGCAUGUGAUUGCCUCCCCUCCAACCGGAUCCCCUGAAAAGGACCCAUUUACUCAUUUUGGACCCUCCAUUAUUAUUUGAUGUUAUUUUCGUAUUAAUUUCGAGGAUCCCAUCAAUGUGAACGUUACUCUUUUAGGUGAUGUUUGGUUAAAUGUUAUUUAUUAGCAUUUGAUUUGAUAUAAAGUAAAAUAGAUUUUUAGGCAUAUAUAUCUAUUUGAUUUUUAGGUUAAAAAAAAAAAAACGAGAGAGAGAGAGAGAGAGAGGUGCGAAGUGUGCAUCUUGCCCAAAUGCAUGGAAAAAAGUUGGAAAAUUAAAAUAAGUGUUUUUUUUUUUUGUGGAAAUACUUAAGUCUAGUUUAAACUAGAAGUAUUUUACAUGGAAACAAUUGCUUGAAAAUUUUUUUUUUAUUUGUCAAUCUGAAAACUUUUCUCGUGCCUCAUUUACGUGUAACCAAGGUCUUGAUGGUUGAUACUUAAGGUCCCAAGUUCGAAUCCUAAUUAAUUUAUAUUUUCAGCUAAAUUUAUUUCUAAAUGAAAUAAACGAAACGGUUAGCGUACUAUCUAUCUCUCAAAAAAAAAAAAGAAAAGGCAUUGCACGCCUUAGCAUGAAUUGACCAUUUUAGUUAGCUCUGGAUUGCAGUUGAGACAUUCAGUGAUAAUUUAUAUUAAUCCUUUAUUAGGUUUCUUGUUACCGUAAAAAAAAACAUCGUGCGCCAUGUUAUUUAUUCAUAUGAUAGAGAGGACGCAGCAGAAAAUAUUUCUACUACUUUGCUAAGCACGGUCUUAUUAAGUUGCCAAUUAAAACCAAAAAACAUGAAUGAAUAUCACCAUGAAUAACCCUACUUAAUUUGUGGAGACAAUAUUUCCAAAAGAUUUAAAGAAAUAGUGCCAUUAUUUAAUUGUAGUUACUUAAUUUACUGUCCAUACACUUUCAACUAUCUCUCAAUUAAACGCUAUAAAAAUAAUAGUUGAAGCUUGCAACAAGUAUAUAUAUAUAUAGAGAGUUGAGCUGAAAUGCUAUCGGUAGCAAAUUAGCUCCAUUGCCACCCAUUUGUUUUCGAUGAUGGAGUCCUUAAAUUGACGAUCGGCACCGUUAAACAUGAUCUAUACCACUUGAAGUAUCAAGAAACCAAAUUUCAAAUUAUUUCGACAUCAUUAACCUAAUGAUCAAAGGAUUUCAAAAUUUAUAAUUUUAAUGGUAGAUAUGAGGCGUUUUCUUGUUUAACGGUGUAAACCUAUCCAAAUCAAUUGAAUUUUGGUUAGAAAAUUCUUUAAAUUAUUUAGAAUAAGAUCUAUACUCUCGAUCUUGAUUACAAAAUUCUUAUCAUCACUUUUUAGAGUAUAUUUAUUUUCAGCCGUUUAUUUUUACGCCCACUUGAUGGACAAGAGAACAAAUUGAAAAAGAAUGAAAUUUGAUUUCUAGAUAUUUUAUGUGGUAUAGAUCAUAUUCAACGAUGCCGAUCAUCGAUUUGGAGGCUCCAUCAUCGAAAACCAAUUGGUGACAACGGAGCCCGUUUGCUACCGAUAGUAUUCUAGCUCAACUAUAUAUAUAUAUAUAUAUAUUUUGAACUAAUCAACAACAGCAUACAAAUUAAAAAGGUGGUUUGGAUUCAUUUAUGUUGAAUAUUGCAUCAGCCCUAUUAAAUGAGCCACUGCAUUAAGAGUCACAAAUUGGCUACGAUGCUUGGCAACUUGUAUUAAAUUAGGUCCCUGUAAUAUUUGACAAAAUCCAAACUACACUAAAUGGUGAUGACGUGCAUUUAACUGUCUCACUUAAUAUUCAUUUUUUUUAAAAAAAACUAUAUAUCUCAUUCGAGAGAAUGCAAAUGCAAUCCACAAAUUUGAACUUAAUUACUACACGUUGUAAUCACGAAUGAGUAUUAAAUAUAUAAUAAACUCCAAACUAUAUAUAUUUUUGUUAAGAACAAAGACAAAUAUAAGUUAAUGUUAAUAUAAUAUCAGAUUUAUUCUAAGUGUGUACAACUAGCUAGCUAGAUAUACAUAUACCACUAAUUAAUAAAUUACUAAUUAAUAAAUUAAUGAUUCAUCAAAAGCUCUACUUAACCUACAAUACGAAGCCUGUAAAAGUUACGCUUGUAUGUAUAGUACUAUUUCGUGUGGCAAAUGGCCAAACUUCAACUUGUUUUAUUAUUAUUAUUAUUACUAUUAUUAUUAUCAUCUUACAUCUUUUUUUUUUGUCAAAUUGAUAAAUUCAACCCUAAAUCACUUUCAUGGUCCUUUCAUCAAUCACUUAGGAAGUGUCUUUCAUUUUAUAUUCAACAUCUUUUUCUAAACUCGAUCAGUUUAUUAAGUGAAUCAUACCUUAGAGAAAUUAAAUAAGCUAGCUUUGCCCUUUGAAACUAUGGAGAAUAUUUUCUUUUUUCACCUUUUUUUACUGAUCAGUACAUGCACUAGAUUACUUAAUUGGGUUCUCCACCAGUCGUACGCCAAAGUGUAUUACGAAUCCUAUGGCUUUGCUUUAUCUAAAUUAACCAACAUAAUUUUAUUGGUAAAGCUCUAUUGAUAGGUCGUUAAUUAGUGGUACAUAGGACCUAUUUUAAUUUGAUCUAUGACAUGCUUCAGCAGACACAUUUAUGGUCCAAUACAUUGAAUUCAAGCUAUAUAUAUAUAAUUACUUGAUCAAAUGUGCGACCUGGGGUCCCAUAAAAUUUUCUAAUGGAAAUAUCUUCGAUCGAUCGCCUCUCUAUAGGUUGCUAGGGUGGGCAUAUGGCUCCCAUUCUUGCAUGUUGGAGAGACACAAAGUAAGACAUAUUCAUGCAUCCCUCACCAUUAUGCUCCUCGAUCACAUGGUUGGCAAAAGUGUUAUCCUUUCCUUUCAACUAAGAUAUCAUUAUUUUGCAGUGUGAGAGCACUCAUUGGUUUCAUGAUGCAUGAUCAAUAUUUUGGGGUAUUCCUCAACCAUGCAUGAUGAUGGCCUAUAAUUAAGCUCCAUUCAUGAUGAUAACCAUAAAAAAGCAAUGUAUGUCUCUAUCACUUUCCUCACUCUAUGGGCAUGUUUGGGGCUGGGUAUGGAAUGAAGGACAAGAGAGGUGGGCAUAGCAUUGAGUUUGCCAACCCAAGGUGCAGCAUAAGAGCAAACACUAUCUCAAUCAUAUAGGAACUGGGGUGUCCUUACAUGUGAUUGGUGAAAUGUAUAGCUAAGGAUGAGCUCAUUUAAUUUGAAUAAAAAUAGAUAUAGCUAAGGAGGAGAAGCAACUUACUAGCUCAACUUGGCAUAUGUACAUCUCUAUUUCAUGACUCUAGCUAGCUACCUACUCCUUUGGGUUUGAAUCAUGGUCCACUUUUGUUCCCCCCCAGAAAAAAAAAGAAAAAAGUAAGCCACUAUUGGCAAAGCCUUACUCUUUGUAAUAGGUAUUCUAUGUUAUGCUUAUAGAGGCUUAAUUAUGAGAUAAUAAAAAUUUAAUUAUUACAAGGACAAUGUGAAGUAUCUCCCAAAAGAAAAAAAGAAAUUGUUUAUGAAAUUUUCUAUAAUUUGGAAUGAGAAACAACUUAGGUCCUCCACAAUAUUGCAACAAAUUAAAGAUAUUAUAAUGUUUUUAAAAUGGGUUCAUAAAUUAAUCAUAAGUCAUUAUAUUAGACACCAAUAUAUAAUAAUAUAUAAAUAUAAUAUUAUAAGGCAUCACCGGCCGUCCCUAGAGCAAGUGACAAAGGGCUUGGUGGUUGGUACCCGAGACCCAAGUUGGAAUCCUAGUUGAUUUACAUUUCCAGCUAAGUUUAUUUCUAGAUGAAAUAAACAAAGCAGGUACCAUGCUAAUUGCUACCUAUCUCUCAAUAUAUAUAUAUAUAUAUAUAUAUAUAUAUAUAUAUAUUAAGGCAUCAGCAAGCGCGACACUGUUCACUUAUAAAUAUUGGAUUUGAUUGUUAUUAUUCAUAUAUAAUAAAUGGAUGGAAUAACUACUACUGAAAAUGACUUUUCGACAAAUAUGGUUGGCGCAAGAGAUCGGAAGGAGAGAGGUCGAGGCUAUAGCAAGUACAAAGCAGUAAACUAACUAGAACAAAGUACACAAGGAACAAAAUCUAAUAUACAACGUGCAUGCCAUGCACAUAAAAAAAAAAAAAGGACAAAAAAAGCAAAAAGGGUGUAGUAAGUACCCAACAUUUUAGGGGCAAGGUUAAAGCUUGCAUCAUGCGUGAACAUGGUGAACUUAACAACCGACAUAUACACAAUUCAUGAUCAGUCCUCGGAACUUGGAUCGUACGUACUAGCCAAUGCAAUUAUAAGCUAAUAAAACUUUAUAUGCCUAGAUCAAAUAAAAGCGAGAUUAAGAUAAAGCCCAGUUGCCAAAAGAAAAAAAGCAUUGAAACCGUACAAGUUUCAUAAAAUAAUCAGAUCGAUUCAUGUGGAUAUCAUGGAACCCACCGUAAAUCCUUACUACGUUUUGUGGAAUAAAAUUUGGUGAAUUAUGCUACGCAUGCAUCACUGCUUAUUAUUGUGUAUGUGAUAUUGUUGAUGAGUUAACACCUUUCCGAAUUAUCUGCAAAAUCUGUAUUUAUAGGUUUUAGUUUUGCUUUGGUUGUAAUCUUGUUUGGCAUUUGAUUUAUUUAUGUCUUGAAUCAAAUACCAAAUACCAAGUUCACUGGGUAAAAAAGGAAAAGCAAAAAAAAAAAAGAAAAAGAAAAAGAAAAGAGCAACACAAAGAUAUGGGCCCUGGCCCAGUUAACAACCGAAGGUUUGUCCAUGGGUAGUGUCUUAGCCCAGUUAUAACCACAAAGUUAUGGGUCUUUUACACUUUGGGUCCAAAGCCAUGUAAAUGAUGGCCCAUUAAUAGCAGAUGUAAUAUCAUGGGUCGGUUCAUCUUACCAAUUUGUUUCUCUUAUAGUCGGCAAGUGCCGGUGCUUCGCCGCCGAAUUCUCCUUGCAGCGACGUAAACCGCAAAACGAAUGCUGUAUGUCUAGGGUUUCCCCAUCGCACUUUCCCCUUUCCUUUCUCCACUGGCUCACUGCGAAGAUGUAUAGAUCAAAACAAAGGUAUUAUUGUUUAAUUUUUCUUUUAUUAAUUCAUAUAUCGCCGUUAAAUUCGUGAAUUAUUAGUAAUUUUUUUGUUUUCGAUCAUCUUAAUCCUCCAAAUUCGCAUGGCCUUUAGAUAAUUUAAGCUACAUAGGUGUUGUUUUUCGCACUAGCUAGUCUCUGAUAAGUCUGUUUCUCCUAUUAUACAUAAUGUUAUGAUUUAGCAAAAAGUUUAAUAGGAAUAACUAUUUUAUUCCUAUUAAACUUUCUCAUUUGAUCUCCGCAUAAUUAUAUGCGUAAGAACAACGAUGAAAGAGUAGGAAAUGUUCUUUACCAGUUGCAGUUGCCUCUGUAACCAUUUGCUUUGUUCUCUUUUUUUUUCUUUUUUUUUUUUUUUUGAGAGAUAGAUAGUAUGCUACACGUUACGCUUAUUUUAUCUAAAAAUAAAUUUAACUGAAAAUGUGAAUCAAUUAGAAUUCGAACUUAAGAUCUCGGAUAUCAACAAUCAAGUCAUUUCCCACUUGCGCUAGGGACGGUCGAUUUCUCUUAAAUUGUUGAAACUAGUGUUUUUAACAGCUCGACCGCCACAUCAGCGACCGUGGACAACGGCUCUGGAAUUGAAAUGCUUCGUUUUACUCUUCAAUGUCAGGAGAACGAGAGGUAUGGAAAAUUUUUGAUAAAAUUACAGUUCAAGGCGACGGUAAAUCUCUUCCUAUCUUUCAUCCUUCUGCUAAGGAUUGUUUGCAAGCUAAGCCUGAGCUUACUAACAAUUUGUUUGGUAUUUAUCCGAAUCAAGUUGCAUUUUCUAAGGACAUAUAGUAGUUGAAUGGGGAGUUUUUAUCAUGCUAUUUCUAACUCAUUGUUCGCCGUGAUGCUAGUCCGAUGUCGCCGAUCACACCAGGUUAGAACUUGCAACACUUCCUUCAUUGAUGGUCUAGACGAGGGCGAUGGUCCGGUGCACAUUAGACCUAAUUUGAGCACCACCUCCACCGUAUACAAGUAGGCGGGAACUUGAACCACCUCGUCGAUCACAUAAAUCAGCCCACCAUCCUCUUGAAACUGUUGCCAUGCCCAUUUGGCCAAACCUCCGUGCUCGCCCAUAUCGUUUGCUCGUCGUCCCGUGGUCAGCUCCAGAAGAACCACCCCGAAACUAAAUACGUCCACCUUCUCAUUGAUCUUUCGCAAAUAUCCACAUUCUGCGACCAAAUAAGAAAUCAAUUAGGAUAACUUUUCUCUUUGGGGGAAAAAAAAAACUUCUCUGUAAUGUGAUCCUACACCAUGAGAUCUCACCCGGAGCCAUGUAUCCAAAGGAGCCUGCUACGGCUGAUACAGAUUCUGGCUCUCCAGUCUUGACCAACAUACGAGCUAGGCCAAAGUCGGCUAUCUUAGGUCUAAAUUCGGAGUCAAGUAGUAUGUUGCUGGACUUGAUAUCUCGGUGUACAAUCGGUGGCGAGCAACCAUGGUGCAUGUAGCAUAGUCCUCGCGCAGCUCCAAUCGCAAUGUUCAACCUCCUAGACCAAUCCAACGGCGAAGACCCACUAACCAUCAUUUCCUGCCCAUGCAGCCACCUGUGCAGACUCUCGUUCUCCAUGUAUUCAUAGACGAGCAGCUUUGAGCCGGAACUCGAGAUGCAGCAAAGCAGCUUCACGAUGUUGGCAUGCCGAACAGAGCCUAAGAUCUCAACUUCUGCCUGGAACUCCUUUUCCAGCUGCGCGUCAAGCUUCCUACUAUUCCAUAUCUUUUUGACGGCUACAAUCUCCUCAACUUGGUUCCCGAGGCUGAUGCGAUACACCUUCCCGGACCCACCGCUUCCUAUUAUGUUGUCCUCCGUGAGGCCACGCGCAAUUUCUUGCUCUGUAAAAUCUAUUGCAUAAAAGGUUGUGAGCUUUGGUGCUCCCAACUCACUAUCGGUGAUCUUUUCUCGCUGGCGGUAUUCUUUCACCUUUUGGAUGGUGAAUGCCGCUAUGCUCAACAAUGCAAAACCUCCGAGGAACACAGACAAGAUGAUUAGUCUUCUUAAGAGCUUAUCUGAGCCAUCCAUUGUAUCUUUACAGUGGUGAAGAACAGCUGCAAAGUUGGGAGAGGAGCAUAGGCCUGGAUUGGAGAGGAAGCUUCUUUCGUACUCAUGAUUCUGCAACCACAUUGGGAUCUCGCCAGAGAGUUGGUUCACGGAGAGGUUGAGGAACGUGAAAGCAAUAUUACCUAACUGCUGUGGGAUCGUGCCUGACAGCUGAUUCUUCGACAGGUCAAGUGUUGUGAGAGAAGGAAGCGAUACAAUAGAGGAUGGUAUCUCGCCUAUAAGCUGGUUACUGCUGAGAUUCAGCACAGUCAAAAACUUCAAUGAUGAUAUUUCCGAAGGGAUUGUGCCGGAAAUCUGAUUCUCGUCUAGUAGCAUUAUUUCGAGUAGCGAAUUUCUGGCAUAUUUAUUCGGAAUCUUCCCCGACAACGAGUUGUUAGAUGCCUUAAAGAUCACUAAAUUACUUGGUAAUAAUGGAAUGCUGCCGUAGAAUCUGUUGUUCUGGAUUUCUAUAUUGAGAAGAUUUUGUGGGAGUUUGCCUGGAAGAGUGCCGGAGAAGGCAUUAUCGUAGAGCGUAACAGAGGUCAGGUUAACUGCAGACCAUGUGGUAGUCGGGAAUGCACCGGAGAAGUCGUUUCUGUCCAAUUGGACAGAUUCCAGCGUAUAACAGUUUGCGAGGGAUGCUGGUAUUAGGCCACUGAAGUUGUUCUGAGACACCACCAAUGCGGUCAGUGCCUUGUGCGAGCACAGACCCUCUGGUAACUUUCCAACGUGUUUAUUGCUGCUGACAUCGAGAUAAGUCAGAGUCGAAUGCUUCCCUAACUCAGGUGGUAGCACCCCUGUAAGGCUGUUGUUCCUGAGCCAAACAAUCUCUAGCAUCGGGAGCAAUCCGAUGCUCGACGGUAUGUCGCCGGAUAAUUGAUUGUUGUACAAGAAGAGGAGUGAGAGAUUCCUUAGCUUGCCAAGAUCCUCCGGCAUGGAUCCGGUCAGUAAGUUCAUCGAAACAUCAAUCUCCUCCAACCGCAAUGCUCCAAUAGUCCCAUUGAUCUCACAGCAGAGCUUGUUAGCAUAUAGAUAGAGAUUCCUCAGCUUCUCCAGCUUCCAAACCCAACCUGGUAUCCUCCCCGUCACAGAAUUCAUCGACAAAUCAAACAACUCUAGUUCUGUCAGAUUCGCCAAAUUUUCGGGGAUCUUCCCCACAACACUAGCUUGACUCAUCCAUAGAAACUUCAGCGACGUCAUGUUGCCGAAUUCAGGAGGGAUCCUCGCUGCAGCGAAAGGGUUGUAAGCCAAAGUUAGAUACUCCACUUUAGAAAGAUUGCCAAGCUCGGCGGGGUACGAGCCGUCAAAGAGAUUGUUGUCGAGCUGCAGGUUCUUAAUUGCGGGGAGCUGGCCAAUGGAGCUCGGGAUGUGGCCCGUGAAGUUGUUCCCCGAGAGGCCGAGGUAUGCGAGUCUCGGCGAUAAGAGGUUGAUAUCUGCGGGGAGUUUGCCAACGAACAGGUUCUCGGAGAGUUCCAAGAACUGCAACUUGGAGCAAUUGUAGAGAACAGUAGGAAAAACACCAGGAAGAUUGUUGUAAUACAGGUCAAGACGGGUGAGGUUCUGGAGGUCACAAAUGGCGGCGGGGAUCGGCUUGUUGAGAUUUUGGCGCCGGAGAGAGAUCUCUGCGACGAAGCCAUUGGUGCAAACGAUUCCGAUCCAGCUGCAGUAAUCGGAGGUGGUUGAGUUCCAUGAGGAAAGAGCUUGUGGGUUGCCCCAGUCACUCCUGAGACGAAGUAGUGUUUGCUUCUCCUCUUGUUUGGUUACUGUUUGGGAGUUGGAGAUUGCCGGUAAUAAUAGCGUCAUGAAGAGGAAGGGAGCCAAAAAGGAAGAAGAGACCAUUUGGAGUUUCUCUUUACUAAGAUGAUGAUGGAAAAUGGUGGGAAUGGAAUUGUUUGAUCAAAAUUAAGGUUGCCGUGAUGCGCUAAAUGACUCAUUAGCAUUUUAGAACCAAACGACCCGGAGACGAUCAUAUUACCAACAAAAAAAAAUUGACGCGUAAUUACACGUUCACUUUUCCCAUGGAUUACACGUUCAAUUUUGUUCCCAUGGAUAUUUUUGCAUCCACGGACACUUUUAAGCAUAAGUGAUAAAAAAUUUAAUAGUUAGUAUUCGAAAUAUAAAUUUCAAAUUUAGUUAUUUUAUAUUUUUAGAUAAAUUUUUUUUUAAAUAAAAUGAAUGAAAUUGGUAGCAUAUUAUUAUUUUUUCCUUAACAAAAUAUAUAUACAUAUUGUGCAUAUUAUCUAACUGAGUCAAGAAAGUAAACUGGGCCGAUCCAAAUUUAAGUUAUAUAUAUAUAUAUAUAUAUAUAUAUAUUAAGCAUAGGAUAAACUUUAAAUACCACUUAUGUGAUUUUGUACUUUCUCAUUUUAAUAUUCUAUAUUAUUCUCUCCACUAAUUUAUUUCGUUAAAUUAUAUAUAAAACUUCAUAUACCCAACUAAGUUUAUCAAAUAUUUAUUUUAGUACCUUUUAGUUUUAAUUUUGUCACUGAUUUAACAAAAUAAAUUAGUGGAGAGAAUAAUAAAAAAAUAAAAAUAAAACCACGGGGUACUAACUUGAUAUACUUUAUACCACAUGAUACUAAAAUAAAAAAAUACGAAACCACGCUGAUAGUAUUUGAAGUUUUUCCAUAAGCAUAAGGUGAAGUUAGAAUAUUUCUACAAAUGGACAGUUCUUUACUUUCAUAUCGAUUCUAUAAAUAAUUUUUUAAUAUAAGUUGCCUGGUAUCUAUAAAGAACUCGUCUUAAAGGCCCAGUAUUUCGUCCUAUGACGGAAAGUUAGGUUGAACCGAGUCACAAUCAAGACUCGUGAAUAUUGUGUCCUUACGGUUUAAGUGAACUGAUUAGAUCUUUUAACAUCUCAAGUUUUUAAAAUUAAUAGUUUGCACCAAUAAUUCUACACAAACUCUCUUUAUUUUUUGUUGUUGUUGUUUUUUAAUUUUUUACUUUCUUUUAGCAAAGUAAUAUUCAGCUGAUACCACGUGGAUCAUAAAAAGGUGUGAAAAGUGAGUAUAAUAAUAGCUUAUUCUCAAUCUUAUGAUCUUCAUCAAAAUUAAACUUCAUUUACAAGGAGAUUAGCCAAGCGGCGAUCCCAUUGGUUGGACCUUUAUUUAUAUCUUCUAUUACUUAAAUUAGCUAUAUAUACAGCGUAUUAGUAGACCUUACAGCAAUCCAUUAGCAGCUAGCGUUGAUCCAACACAGCUAUUUCUAGCUAUUAAUCCUUACCUACUACAGUUGUGGCACGCUCCAUUCCAAAGCUUGAGUCUAGGUUAGUGUGUGAGUUGUGCUUGUUCACUGCACUACGAUAUGUUACAUUUAUGCUCGCACAACAUGCGCAUAGAUGUCCUCUCUCUCGUCUUCUCCGGUAUCCGACAAGCUUUUCCGCCGACUCCCCAUUUUGAUUUGUAGAAAGGGAGCCGCGUCAUACUCGCCGCGGAGCAUGUUCCGAUCUCCGUUUGUGCGGUCGCACUGCAUUAGCUGUUUCAACACUUCCUUCAUCGACGGCCUAUAUGAUGGAUUUGUUGCGGUGCACAUGAGACCGAUUUUGAGUACCUCGUCCACCUCGUCCAAGUACGCGGGGUCCCGGAUGUCCUCGUCGAUCACAUCGAUCAGCCUACCGCCCUCUGCACAAUGCCGCCAUACCCAUUGCGCCAAGUUCUCGUCCUCGCCCCCUUCGUUCGCUUGCCGCCCCGUCGUCAGCUCCAGAAGAACCACUCCGAAGCUGAACACAUCCAUCUUCUCAUUGAUCUUCCUAGCGUAUGCACACUCUGCAACCAAAUCAAAUCACCAAUUACUAACAUUUCACUAUUAUUAAGUUGUACCUUUGCCAAUUACUGGCUCAUAAUUACGUUUCCCAGUAAUUCAUUUUACCUGGAGCCAUGUACCCAAAAGAGCCCUCUAUGCCUGAAACAGAUUCGGGUUCCCCGGCCUUGACCAGCAUUCGGGCUAGCCCGAAGUCGGCGAUCUUAGCUUUGAACUCCGAGUCGAGAAGUAUGUUACUGGACUUGACGUCUCGGUGCACGAUCGGCGCGGAGCAAUUGUGGUGCAUGUAGCACAACCCCUGGGCCGCUCCGAUCGCGAUAUCCAGCCUCAUCGGCCAAUCCAAUGGCACAGAUGCGCCUGCCUGCCCGUGGAGCCACAUGUCUAAGCUCUUGUUUUCCAUGUACUCGUAGACCAGCAACUUGGAGUCCGAACUCGAGAUACAGCAAAAUAGCUUAACAAUGUUGUUGUGCCGGAUAGAGCUCAGAAUCUGGACUUCUGCUUGGAACUGCUUCUCCAGCUUCGCGCCAAACUUCCGGCUGUUCCAUAUCUUUUUCACGGCCACCGUAUUUUCGGGACCGAGCUCGAUGCGGUACACCUUUCCAGAGCCGCCCCUGCCGAUCAGGCGAUCUUCAGUGAGCCUGCGGAUGAUACUCUCCUCCGUGAAAUCGAGAUGGUGGAAAGAGGUGAGCUUCCACGCGGCGAGAUCAGGUCCCUCCUUUUCCCUCUUGAGGUACUCUCUUACCAUUAAGGUGCCGACGACCGCCGUCCCCAAAAUCAAAAGCCCACCGAGAAGCAUGAUCACGAUGAACAGACUCCUCCCGAGCUUCGUAAGGCCGCCUGAUCUAUUGCCGCAGGCGCGGAGAUUCGUGAUGAUGUUAAGUGAGGAGCAAAGCCCGGGAUUCGAGAGGAAGCUUCUGUCAUACGCUUGGUUCAGUAACGACACCGGAAUUGGGCCGGAGAGUUCGUUGCAGGAGACGUUGAGAAAAUUGAGCUUAAGAUUACCGAGCUGCGGCGGGACCGGUCCCGAGAGCUCGUUGUCCGAGAGAUCAAGUGACGUAAGCACGGGGAGCGAUCCGAAUGAGCCCGGGAUCUCGCCGGUGAGCCGGUUGCUGCUGAGAUUGAGCUGGGUGAGGCCCGUCAAUGCCGAUAUCCCUGACGGGAUCGAGCCGGAAAUCCGGUUGCCGUCGAGAAACAGCACAUUGAGCUGCGAAAUUCCAGCUAGAUUACUCGGGAUCUCGCCCGAGAAUAAGUUGUUCGACGCCAGGAAUACCUGCAACCGGCCAGCCGAUGAAGGGAUGGUGCCGUAGAAUCUGUUGUUCUGGAUCUCCAACCGGGUGAGAUUCCACGGGAGCGGGUCCGGAAUGGUGCCCGAGAAGGCGUUGUCAUGGAUCAUCACCGUCGUAAGAUUCUCCGCCUUCCAAAUUGUAUUCGGGAACUCGCCGGAGAACUUGUUUCCAUAAAAUUGGAUGUUAUCUAGCGUGUAACAGUUCGCGAGCGAGUCCGGUACCCCGCCGGACAAGUUGUUGUUGAACACAACGACCGACCUGAGCGCCCCCCGUGAGCAGAGGCCCUCCGGGAGCUUCCUGGAGAGCCCGUUGUUGGCCACUUCAAGAUUUUGCAGCUCGGAGUGCUUCCCCAAUUCCGGCGGGAGCGCCCCGGACAGACUAUUGUUGAAGAGCCGGAGGUCGCGGAGCUGCGGGAGCAACCCGACGCUCGCGGGAAUUUCCCCGGAGAGUCUAUUGUAGUACAUGAAGAGCACUGUGAGGUUCGUCAGCUUACCCAGAUCGGCCGGCAUCGGCCCGGUCAAUAGGUUCAUCGAGACGUCGAUCUCGACCAGACUCAGCGCACUGAUCGUCCGGUUUAUCCCGCCGGAGAACAAAUUCGCAUACAAGUAGAAGUUCGUCAGCUUCGGCAGCGUCCAAAUCCAAUCUGGUAUCGUCCCGUUCAUCGAAUUCCAACCCAGAUCAAAAUACUCGAUCUCCGUGAGCUUCUGGAACGUGUCCGGGAUCUCUCCGACGGCGCCAAUCUGGGUCAUCCACAGAGACUUGAGCUUUGUUAAGCUCCCGAAUUCGGGCGGAAUCGGCGCGGGGGCGAAAGGGUUGUAUGCCAACGAGAGAUAUCGCAAAUCGUACAGAUUCGCGAUCUCCACAGGGUAGGAGCCGUUGAGGAGGUUGGAGUGCAGGAAUAGCGUCUGCAGCGCCGGGAGCCGCCCGAUGGAUCGUGGGACGUCGCCGGAGAAGUUGUUGCCGAAGAGGCUGAGGUACGUGAGCUUGGGCGAUAGCCGAUGGAUAUCGGCGGGGAGUUGGCCGACGAAUAGGUUUUGCGCGAGCUCCAGGUGCUCCAAGUUGCUGCAUUUGUAGAGAACGGUGGGGAACUCGCCGGGGAGGUAGUUGAAGUAGAGGUCGAUGAAGGAGAGGUUCGGGAGGUCGCAGAUGGAGGAGGGGAUGGGUCUGGUGAGGUUGUGGAGGCGGAGGGAGAUUGCGGUGACGGAGGUGUUGGUGCAGGUGAUCCCUUCCCAGUUACAGGGAUCGGCGGAAGUGGAGUUCCAAGUGGAAAGGGAUGGGGGGUUGCCCCAAUCGGAUUUUAGGAGGAGGAGGGUUUGCUUCUCUUGUUCUUCUUGUUGUUGUUGUUGUGGGGUUAGGGUUUGGGAGGUGGAGUGAGGGAGUGAGGUGGAGGCGAGGAGGAGCAGCAGAGGGAGUACGAGGAGGAGAAGAUGUCGAGAGGGAGAAGUUGCCAUUAGUGGCUGGCUUAAUUAGUUGUGAGAGGUUGCUGAGUUGGAGGAAACUGGAGUGGUGGGAUGGUUUUUUAUAGGUAUAUGGUGCCGCUUCCUACACUUCUGUGCUGUGAUUGGAGAGUAUUUUCCAGCAUGAUUAGUUCACUUCUUCUUGUUUGGUUCGCGUAUACUUAUUUCAAAAAUAUAUAUAAGUUUAUAUUUGAAUAAAAAUUAGAUUGUUUUUAAAAAUAAAAAAAAAUAAUGUUUAAACAAAUAAGAUGGAAUAAAAAGAAUAAUAAGUAAUUAUAAAUAAAAAAUAACAAUAUUACCCUCUCAUUAUAUUUGAAUUUGAAUAUUUUAAUUUUAUAUUUUUAUAUUUUUAUAUUUAAAAUUUUAUCUUUUAAAUUUUAAAAUUUGAAAUUAAAUUUUCAAUUUUCAAAUUACAAAUUUUAAAUUUUAACUUUUAAAUUUUAAAUUUCAAAAUUAAAAUUUAAGAUUAAAUUUAAAUUUGAAAAUAUAAUAUUUUAAAUUUUAAAUUUAAAAAAUUUAAAAUAUCAAAUUUAAAAUUUAAAAAUUUAGAACAUAAAAUUAUAAACUUUAAUUUUGAGAUUACAAAUUAUAAAUUUUAAAAAUAAAAAUAGGGGCGAGAACAUCUAUUCGGAACCGUUGUUUCCACCCUUAACGGGUUAUCUAAAAAUAAUCAUUUAAUAUUAAUUAGAUUAAUUAAUAAUUUAAAUAUAUUAACUAGAUUAAUUAAUAAUUUAAAAUUAUUAAUUAGAGUUUAAUUAAUUUUGUUCUCGAUUGUUCCAGGAAUAAGGUUGGAACAAUAAUUCCAGACUUAUACCGAAUUAUAUUAACUUAUUUCAGAUAUCCGGAAACUAUUAUUUUUGGAUAGGAAAAAUUAUGUUUAAGUAUAAAGGGGAUAAGGGGUUAUCCCCCUAUCUGAACCAAACGGGAUGGAAUUCGGAUAUGAUUGUACAUAGAAAUAAAUUAUAUAAUGUUCUAUAUAUGGUGAUAAUUUUUUGGAGAUAAAAUUAUAUUGUGUGAUUGAAAGGCUGAAGUUUUUUUUUAUUUUUUUGAAAGAUUUUAGAAUUUAUAAGUUGUUAUGAUAAUAUGUUAUUUCAAAAAAAUAAUUAGAAGACUAACGAUUAUUUUAUUCGGAGCAUUUGGUCACACUCCUAACUUUCAAUCAUAAUAAAAAAAAAAUAUUUUCAUGCCAAAUAAAAUAUUGCUAGAUAUCUCUUUUGUCAUCAUCUAUAUUUGAUUAAUUUUAUUAAAUUUUAUUAAUCAUUAACUAAAUGCUCCCCUUUGGGUACGUACAAAAUGGGACUUGAGCUUUUGGUUUCUCGAGUAAAAUCCUUAUAAAUUUUCUUGGCGAAAACUUGUUAUCGAAAUUCAUAGGAUAAAAAAAGACCUAAUUGGAUUGUAUUUUUUUCGAAAUACGUAGUAUGCUGUUUGUUUUGUUUUUUUUUUAAAAGCAAAUUUAGUUGAAAAUAUAAAUCAACUUAAAUUCAAAGUUGCCACAUCGAAUACUAACCAUCAAAUCCUUUAUCACCUGUGUUAGCGAUGGUCCGCAAAUCUAAUUGAACCAUCACGGGUUAACCGCUCCGCACUCCUUCCGAGUGGAUAAGAAAGAAAAUAAUAAUAAUAAUAAUAAAUAAAUAAAAUGGUAAUCUAGAAGGUCUAAGUGCCAGGGCAAUCACUGCGAAUGAGCACACAAGAUUUGUGGCUGCGAUGGGAACAAAUGAUUCGGUGGAGGACAUAUUUUGACCACUUAGUCGGUCGUUAAUGAUGCCAACACCACUGACUAAUUAUAUUCUUUCAGGUUAAAAAAAAUUACAUAAAAUUUUUUUAUAAAUUUUUAUUUUUUUAUUUUUUUCUCUCAUUAUUAAAAAUCUAUUUUUUUUAUCCAUCAACAUUUCAAUUUUUUGUUUUUAGUUUCCAUUCGUCUGAAUUCUAUUACUAUUUCGUCCAUUUUUUAUAAUUUAGACCGAAAACGCUUUUCAAAAUAAUACACAUAUAUUAGAAAUUAUUUUUUUUAUAAAAGAGGUAAAGAUAAUUUAGUCAUUUUGCCUUUCUUUAUUAACGCUAUACAUUCUGAAAAUAUUUUUAAAAUUUUAAGAAUGUAAAAUAUAAUUUUUUUAAAGUCUAAAAGAAAAGAUGAAAAGACGGGUAUUAUAAGAAAAUUUUAAAACUCUCAAAAAAAUGCUAAAUCUACAACACAAGAAGUGUGAUUCCUACAAUCUUCUAUCCAAGAGCUAUACCGAAUCAUUAUCUAAUAUAAUUUAUUAAGAAUUUGAUAGUAGAUAUUGGAAAUUUUAAUUUUAAGUCUAAUUAUUUCAUGUUUAUAACUGAAUUUAUUUAAAAAAAAUAAAUGGAGAGAGUGAUAUGCUAACUUUCUCUCUCUCAAAAUAACAAAAAAAUUUGCAGGGUUUACUGGCCCUUUUAGAUUUUUAGUUUGUGAAAAAAAAAUGAUAAGAUAGGAAGAGAAAAUAGAGCAAUUAAUUAGAGGAGUUAUAAGAUUACAAUCCAAAAUGCCUUGUAAUCUUAGGACUCCCCGAAAAGAAACGUACAAAGACCCUUUAACCUUUUGCCUUUUUGCUGAUAAAUUUUUAAAAUUUUAAUUUUGAUAAUUAAAUAUAAAAACUUUAUAAAAUAAUUCAAAAAGGUCCUUUUCUCAAUUGUAGUAAUUCGUUCUAAUAGCAUAUCUUAUAUAUAUUCUUGUUAAGUUUUGAAGCAGAUCAGAAAAAAUAUUUCUUAUAUUCUAUUACAUGAAAAAAGUAAUACAAAUUGAAGUUUUCAACUCUCAUACUUAUGAUAAGAAUUGAGAAAGAAAAAAAAAAUUAUAUUUUAAAAUUCUAUAAAAUUAUUAUAUGCAUGAUAUAUGAUCAAAAUGACUAUAUAGAAGAUUUAAUUGAACUUCCAUCGAAGAUAGAAACUAUUAAUUUAUUUGAUAAAUUAUAGAAGAUUUAAUUGCCAAAUAAAAAUUUUGAGGGCAUGUUUUAUAAAAAGUGCUAAAGUUCGGAUGAUUCUAUCAAUUUAUUUAUUUUUAUUUUUUUUAAUAAAAAAUUUAUUGAUUUCGCUAUUUUGUAAGAUCAUAAUAUCUUUUUUGAUUUGCAUAUUUGGAUCGAGUUUUUGAAUUAAGUGAUCAAAUUAUCUUUAUUCUUCUUUCUCCCUCUUUAUUCUAUUAUUCGUUUCUCUCCUCCUCCCUGCCGUUUGACAUCACUGCGCUCCACCCCACAGAGCUGGCGACGUCGGGCGGUGGACAAUGACGAGGAGAGAGAUGAAGCUGGAGGAGAGAUACAAAGAAAAAAAUUUGAAAAAAAAGAGAAAAAUUUAAUUAUUUUUAAAAAAAAUUGAUUUAAAUGUGUAAAAUUUAGAAAGACAGCUUGAUUUUGCAUAAUCAGUGGAUUUUUUUUAAAAAAAAAACAAAUAAUUUUUUUCUUAUUCUCUUUGGAGAGAUUCGUCGCCUUUAAUAAAAAAAACUAAAAGUGAAGAUAUAGACUGUAUGAGUGGACGGGUCGUCGGUCAACACUCAACGAGAAAUUGAUGCGUGGGAGCAAUAUACACCGAUAAGUGGAUAUAAGCAUCCCUUUGAUCUCCAUCAAACCCCCCACCAUUUAUGCGUGUCAUCAUCUCUCUUUUGUUUUUUUCUUUUUUUUUCUUUUUCGAGAGAGAGAGAGAGAAAGAAAGAAAGGCAGUGUGCUAUCUGUUUAAUUUAUUUUUUAAAAAAUAAACUUAGCUGAAAAUAUAAAUCAACUAGAAUUUAAAUUUUAAAUCUCGAGUACCAAGUCCUUUGCCAUUUGCGUUAGGGACGAUCGGUGUCAUCAUCUUAUCACUUAGAAAAAAAAAUUAUCCUACAGAUAGAGAUGUAUGCUUACAAUCAACUAAAAUUCGAAUUUGGAAUCUCAGAUACCAAUCAUCAGAUCUUUUGCCACUUGCACUAGGAACGGUCGGUAUCAUCAUCUUAUCACUGAGAAAAAAAAUUAUUCUAUGGAUAGAAAUGUAUCCUGACCCAAACCACUCUUUAGUUUUUAAGGUACCGUUUUAUUCGGAAACAAGCUAUUUUUGUCUAUUUUUGAAAUAGAUAUAAUUUUUGGGAUAAGCAAGUGGCGUUUGGACGCGAAUCAAAAUAUCUUGAAGGAUAAAAAAAAUUACGUUUGGAUAAAACAAAUGCAUUGAAAUAGUAAGAAUAAAAAUAAUUAUGAUUGAAAAAAAAAAAUUUGUCUAAAUAAUAAGCAUCUAACUAUUCUUGAUAUAAUAUUUUAACAAAUUAGUAAAUUAAUUAAUUAGUAACACUAUAUAAGAUGAUGAAGAAUCACAUUAAUUAGUGAAUAACUAUAAAAAAUAUAAGUCAAUAUGUUAAUGUUAAUAAAUUAUUUAAUUAAUUAUAUUUUAGUUAAUAUAUUAAUUUGAUAAAUUAAAAUAUUAAUUAUGCAAAUAAUUUAAAUAUUAGUUAAUGAUUGAAUAAGCAAAUCAAUUUUAAUUAUUUAAUUAGCUAAUUAAUUAUAAAUAAUAAAUUAACUACUAUUUUCAUAAUUAUUAAUUUAAUUAGUCAAAUAAUUCAUUGGUUAAUUAUUAAAAAAUUAAUUGCAUUAAUUAAUAAUAUUUUAUAUUAUUUAUAACUUAAUUAGUAGAGAGAUAAGAUGGAAAAUAAUUUAUUUCACAUAAAGGAUGGAAUUACUAUUCUCCUUUCUUAACGGAUUAUUCCAAAAUAACCUAUUAAGAGGAGAAUAGAAAAUUUUAAUGGCUGUUUGGGAGAAUAAGAGGAAUAAAUCUCUUAUUCUCUCCUUUUCCCUCCAACCAAAGAUGGUAAUAUUUUACUGCUUUAUUUUUUAAUAUAACUAAAAAUAUAAGGCAAUUAAAAUUUAAAUUUGAAAUCUAAAUAUAAAUUAUUAAAUUUUUUACCACUUACACUAGAGACGAAUUGGAUACAUCAUCCUACAUUGGACAAGCUAACUAUCCCAAGGCCAUAGUCUAUUAUUUAGUACAUAACGAGCAAAGCAUGCGUUUUUGUUUCUAUUUUUCACUUUCGAACACAAUUAUUUAGGCUAUGUUUAAGUAUAUAAAUAUUUUAUUCAAUAUAUAUAUAUAUAUAAUAUAAUAGAAUAUAUAUUAUAUAUAUAUAAUAUAUAUAUUAUUAUAUUAAUUGGAACUGGGCUACUAUUAGUAGCAAAAUUCUAUUGUUACUAUCAUUUUUAGCCCUUUGGAUCAACUCUUUUCAUCAUUUCUAACCAUUGGAUUAAAUACUAUAACCCAGUGGGGACCACUCAACCCUAGGAGGACCACUCAGCUCUAACAGACUAAUAUCAUCCCUAACCCUACAACUUUUCAUCCAAGGUUAAAAAAUUGAUAGCAAAAAAAGUUUUACUAUUAAUAGUAUUCAAUCUAAUUCUAUAUAUAUAUAUAUAUAUAUAUAUAUAUAUAUAUAUAUAUAUAUAUAUAUUUUGUUGUCAUGUAGUGUGUCCACAUUGACAGGCCUUAAUUUAAUCCGAUCCACUUAAGAUGUGGAUUUAUAUUUAUCCUAAUAAGUUGAGGGUAAGAAUAAAUUAUAUAUUACUUAUUAGUUAAGAAACAUAUCUUCUAGUCGAUAUCUAUUAUGAAUAUCCUAAUCCUAGUCCUUAUCUUAAUCUCUUUGUGAGAUUCAGGAUAUUUAGGGGUUCCGUUAUUUUAUAAAUAGGUCCCCAUUUUUCUCUCCCAUAAGAGAAUACGAUUUAAUCCGAAAGAAGCCACGAUAAAUUCUCUUUCUUCUUUCUCUCUGGGAUUUUCACCUACGUUUCCGGGGUUUUGGAGUGUGGAUAUAAAAGAGAACUCUAAUAGCCCUCUUCAAUUGGCAUCCGUCGCAUCAGAUGCGCAUCCAAUCCGUGACGGAAGGCGUAUGCGUGGAAGAAGGCGAGAAACGUGGGAGAUCCAGAAGCAUCGAGACAAGAACGAUCCAAGAAGGCUUAUAAAACAAGCAAUCUGAUCCGAUUUCGAUUUUCAAAUAUGUUGGCUAUCCAGUUUGUAAGUUUUCGCUGCCCUAAUAUUUCCAACAUAUAUAUUUAAUUAUAGUAUUUGGUAGAUGGUAAAUAAGGAGUGCAGUCAAAUGUUGAAAAAUGUGUAUUAUAUUAAUUAUUCACGCUAUUUUUAAAAAUAAAAAAAAUCAUUUCAUAGCAAAAAUAUGUUAUUUUAUUAAAUUGAAGUAAAACUCAUGCUUUUAACUUUUAAUUGGACAAAAGAUGACCACAUAAUAAAUAUAUAGCAUUUGAUAAACGAAAUAGUAUAAAUUAUAAAGUAUUUGUCUCUAAAUUUAAACUCCAUUUAUAAUUGUAGGUAGAAAAUGUUCUCUUUUUUAGAAAAAGGUAGCAAGCUACCUUCUUCAUUUAUUAGAAAAAUAAGUUAAACUUACAAAUGAAAACAGCCGAGACCUCCGAAAGAAAAAAUAAAAAUUAGAGGACAUAAAAAUAAAAUGUUAGACAAAGACCAGAAAAGGACAAAAAAGAAGCUGACAACCAAGGACCGAAAAAUGUAGAAGAGAAUCUAUGGCACUUGGCAAUGUCACGUAAACCACGCUGACAUCAGGAAUCUGACGCGUUUUAAUGCACGGGUAGGGUUGGGAAACUUCGCUCGGAAAAAAAUGUCAUUCCUUUCGGUUCAAACAAUCCACCAAAUGACAGUCAGUAGAGUUAAAACUUCCAAUAUCUUCUGGGUGUCCAGUAAACUGAGCGAUUUUGACCACAAUUAUUUUGCCUCCUCUGAGGGCGUUAUCAAGACUUGCGGUCCUUCCACACUAAUAUCAACACAUGCACCAAACACACUUUGUUCAGCUAAGAUAAAUCUUUUUUUACUUUAUUUGAUUAGAAUUUGAGAAUAUUGGAAAUACCUUCAAUAGAAGCAUAGUAUUGAAACCUUUUAGCUGUUUCUUAAUUUAUGGUCAAUUUAUUCCUCCCCCCCAGAUGGGCUACAAGAACGCAGUGAACUUCGCCGUGAAAGCCAAGUGAAAAGCUUAGUUGUUUUUGCCUAAAAGUUCCAAUUUAUUCCUUCUCCCAACGAGCAACAAAAAUAUAUGAAGAUUUUGAGUUAAUUCGUAGAAAAUAAUUAAAAUUAUUAAAUUUGAUGGAAUCAUCAGUUAUCGAAAUAAAACCUCCAAAAUUUUAGUAAAAUCAAAAUUAAAAGAUGUUAAUAAAAAUAAAAAAAGGUGGAGGGGACAAUCUCGUAAUUGCCUAGAGUUGAGGUUNUUUUUUUUUUUUUUUUUUUUUUUAACCUUAAGUGACAAGUUGAUUCCUCUUUUACCCUCUUAUAGUUACCUAUAAAUAUUCUCCUACAAUUAGGUUUGGCUCGUGACCACUUCCGAGUCCAACAUUAAUUAUACCACACCUAUGCGCUAGCUAGCGCACAAAUUGACAUUGUUAAUUAGAAAAAAAAAAAAUUUAAAUAGUACCAUUUUUAGACGCGUGAACCCAAAAUAGUCCAAGGUGGAGUUUAAUUGGCUUAGGUUUUCUAAACCUUUAUCCAAUUUUAAAUAAAAAAGUUCAAAUUAUUUAAAGCUGUUGAAAUUGAUACUCUUUACUCCAUGCAGGAAAAAAAAAAAAAACCUUUCCUGUAAUAGGUGUUAUCCUUUUAUAGGCGUAUUAUCUUUUGCGGAAACACUUCUUCUGCUGUAGAGUAUGUAGGAUAUCAAAAUUUGAGUCUCGCUUCGUAUUCAAAUCUUAAUAAAAAAUGAAAAGUACUACAUGCCGCUCAAUGACGAGAACUGUGCCUUUAUGGUUUGCUUCACGAAGCAACACUUUAAUAUGGGAAGUAAAACUAGAAGUUUCUGAAUUGAAUUAUCUAAGAGUUUUAAACUUGAAUCGAGAAAUUAAUUAUUUGAGAUUCGUCUACAUCUUUUUAACUUGCAUCGAGAAACCAAUUGACCUUCCGGGUCUAAAGGAAUAGACGAAGGUCUAAUUUAAACUUCAUAAUUAUCGUAACUUUGAUGAGGAGUUAUUGAUUGAUUUAUCUCUAAGGAAGCUAUAGGGAGCUUAAAUCGAGAAAGUAAAGUAACUUGUACCGCGAAACUAAUUGAGCGUCUGGGGUAUAGAAGAAUAAAAGGUCCAAUCAAUACUUCUUAAUUCAUAUAACUACAACGAGAAGCUACUAAAGUCUAAAAAAAGAUUUAUUUUCAAAGAUGCUGUCACGACUUUGCCUAAAUAAUACUUCUGCAAGAACUUUCAUAUCAUUUUACAAACCCUGAACACAAUUGACCUAGCUAGCUUAUCUCUAAAUACUAUUUUUGUAAAGCUUUUCAUUAUUAAGCAUUAAGGGCUUUUACAUUAAAUUUCCCUCCAAGCCACCGAAUUCAAAUUCAGAAUCUCACUUCAAUGUUUCGUUCGUAAAAUCUAGAUCAUUUUGGCUAACAAUCUAGGUGUUUUUUUAAAGUGAAAGAAAUUUUCAAAAGUUAGGCCAAGCAGUGAAAUAGAAGACCUUGCAGAUAUAUACACGUAAAUUGCAAGGGCAAAACUACAAGUUUCUAUGAUGCAGUUUAAAUUUGUUAGUAAGAUAAAUUUGGUUCGGUUUCUGUUUGGUUUUAUCGAAAAGCAAAGCACACCCCCUAUAUAAUUAAGCAUGUAACAAAUUUACAGGAAUAUCAUUUUCAUAAUGUAGCUGUUGACGAGGAGGAAAAAGCAUCUGCACCAUGCCCCUGGUAAUGGAGCUAGCACUACGUGUUAUUUAUCUAUCUUUGAAUCUCAUGAUGUUACAGCUAAUUAAGGAUCGAUGCUCCCCUUUGUGGGUUCACACCGAAAGAAUCAAAGAGGUGGCAAGGUGCUUUCAUUAAUUAAUUAAUCUUCUUUCCUCCUCGUUAGUCAAGAUACGGUUUUGCAAAGAUCUUAACUUUAAAAUAACCUUAAACACGUAUUUUCUUUUAUCAUAUAAUGGAAUUAUCAUGUUGAUCAAGGUUUUAUUUUGUAUCAAACGCACAGGUUGUUUGUGUAUGAUAACUCUUUAUGUAUUAACUAGUGUAAUAAUUCGUACGAUGUAAUGCAUAAAUAAUUAGAGAAAAAAUAAAAAACAGCGACAAGAAAAGAGAAAAUAGCGAUGGAAGAACUGAAGAAACGAUCAUAAGGGUGCGUUUGGUUCGCAUUAUGAAAGAUUGCUAGGAAUAAAAGAUAUCUGAGAAUCUUAUUCCUAUUCACAGGGGCGGAGCCAUUGAGGGGCCCACAGUGGCCAUGGCCCCCCCUAACUUUUUUAAAAUCACAUAAAAGUCCUU
rnacentral:lncRNA from 1 species